rnacentral:lncRNA from 1 species
CCUGGAGUACCAGUGCUGCGCGCACGGCCUGUCGGAGCCCACGCUGGUGAGCGAGGAGCCGGAGCAGUGCGGCUGCGAUGCCAACAUCCUGGCCACCCCCUAUCGCCUGGACUACGCCAGCGCCGCCUACACGCGCGCCGCCGACGCCACCACCCUCAACUUCACGCUCACUUACGACCAGCUGGACUGCGAGCCCAACUCUGCCUGCUGCGCCAGCGACCUGAAGAGCGUGUUCAUCGAAAUGGACACCACCG